rnacentral:rRNA from 1 species
UACGUAGGGUGCGAGCGUUAAUCGGAAUUACUGGGCGUAAAGCGUGCGCAGGCGGUUUUGUAAGCCAGAUGUGAAAUCCCCGGGCUCAACCUGGGAAUGGCAUUUGGGACUGCAAGGCUCGAGUGCGGCAGAGGAGACUGGAAUUCCUGGUGUAGCAGGUGAAAUGCGUAGAUAUCAGGAGGAACACCGAUGGCGAAGGCAGGUCUCUGGGCUGACACUGACGCUCAUGCACGAAAGCGUGGGGAGCAAACAGG